UGAGGAAUAUUGGGCAAUGCCCGCAAGGGUGACCCAGCAACGCCGCGUGGAGGAUGAAUGUCGUAAGAUUGUAAACUCCUGUUAGAGGGGAAGAAUAAUACCGGUUGGACCGGUAUGUGACUGUACCCUCAGAGAAAGCCCCGGCUAACUACGUGCCAGCAGCCGCGGUAAUACGUAGGGGGCAAGCGUUGUCCGGAUUUACUGGGUGUAAAGGGCGCGCAGGCGGGAUAAAAAGUCAGUGGUGAAAUCCUACAGCUUAACUGUAGAACUGCCUUUGAUACUUUUAUUCUUGAGUUCGGGAGAGAGAGACGGAAUUCCAGGUGUAGUGGUGAAAUACGUAGAUAUCUGGAAGAACACCAGUUGCGAAGGCGGUCUCUUGGUCCGACACUGACGCUGAGGCGCGAAAGCGUGGGGAGCAAACA
rnacentral:rRNA from 1 species